UUCUUGCAGAGGGCAGUGGAGCAUCUGCAGGAAGCGGACCUGCACAAUCUAGCUGUUUCGCUUUGCAGUGGAGCCGAGGAGCGCUCUUGUAAUGUUGGAGGAGCAGUCGUACUGAGAUUGGUCAGAUGAGAGAUCGGCCAACCUGUGGCAGAGACCAAGGAAGGAACAGCCACCCGGAGCCCAUCCCUAGGGAUGGAAGCCGGACAAUGAUCUGCAGAUACCACGGAGAAAGAAGUGAAGGGUAAGAGCCCACCCCCGUUGUGAGAUGGAAAGCACCAAGAGCCAUGAGACCACAAGCGUUGUCGAUGCCAGCCUAUGGCGAUGCCGUCGAUCUGGGAGUGGAGCAGCCGUCACCAUCAGUGAGAUAAGUGUCUGGUUUGGGGAGGACUCCGGUAACGGCCCACCUGCCUCCAGGCUGAGACUUGUCAUUAGCUGGGGCUCGGUUUGUAGGAAAAGAUUCCUGACCUGCUGUGGUUACGAGGGAGACAAGGUCCCCAUUUUCAGGGGCAGGUCUUUUCUCUGUCCACAAACAGUGUGUCCUACGCAGCAGAAGGUUGGAUCGAGGAGGAUGACUCCAGCUGUUGAGUUUCUUGACUCCAUCCCACAUUU